rnacentral:lncRNA from 1 species
CAACCCCAGAAGACUUCAACAAUACCAUGAUAAACAACAGAAGUUUCUUCUAGUUCCCAUUGCCUUCGAACAUUGAUCCUUUGGGUAUUCUGGAGAAAAAUGGCAAUUGAGGCCUUCAAGGACUCCAUUUAGAAGACCUUUGGAGGGGGUGUGUGUUGCUAUUGUUUUCUGAAAGGGACAGGUGACAGUCAGCACGACUCUGUGGACCUGACCUGAAACUUCCUGAUUUAUAUGUGUAUUGAUAACUGUCACUAACAAAGUUAGUGGCUGCCGUGAUUCAUAGUCCAGCAAAAGUAAAUAUAAAUAUUUAAUUUCAACAUUUUUUAAACAAAAUAUAGGAAAACUGGAAAUAAUGUGGAGAUUGCC